rnacentral:tRNA from 1 species
GAACACUUUAGCUCAGCUGGUCAAAGCAUGGGGCUAAUAACACCAAGGUUGUGGGUUCAAUCCCUGUAUGGUCUA